GACGAACGCUGGCGGCGUGCUUAAUACAUGCAAGUCGAACGAAGUGGCGAACGGGUGAGUAACGCGUAAUCAACCUGCCCUUCAGAGGGGGACAACAGUGGGACACGACUGCUAAUACCGCAUUCUGACGGAGGGGAUUGCGUCUGAUUAGCUAGUUGGAGGGGUAACGGCCCACCAAGGCGAUGAUCAGUAGCCGGUCUGAGAGGAUGAACGGCCACAUUGGGACUGGGACACGGCCCAGACUCCUACGGGAGGCAGCAGUGGGGAAUCUUCCGCAAUGGACGAAAGUCUGACGUGGCAACGCCGCGUGAGUGAUGACGGCCUUCGGGUGGUAAAGCUCUGUUAAUCGGGACGCGGUACCGGAAUAGAAAGCCACGGCUAACUACGUGCCAGCAGCCGCGGUAAUUC
rnacentral:rRNA from 1 species